GUGUGUUUUGCUGAGAGUCUUGGCACAGCCAAGAGCUUGGGUCGCCGUGUGUUCCUGUGUAGGUGUAGCUCGUAAAUGCGAGAAAAAGUAGCGCCCUGGGUCAUUUAAUAGCCUCUUUGCUAAAAUGAGGCGCAUCCUGAGUGCCCUGUCUCGUGAAAGUGCACAGCUGGCCAGCUUAUGGUUCCAGUCUUCAGCUUCAACUUUCAGGACCUGCCUCUACAACAUAAUGAAGUCUUCCCAGGGACUUCCCUAGUGGCACAGAUGUUAAGAAUCUGCCUGCCAAGGUAGGGGACACGGGUUUGAUCCCUGGUCUGGGAAGAUCCCACAUGCUGCGGAACAACUAAGCCCGUGUGCCACAACUACUGAGCCUGUGCUCUAGAGCCCGUGAUCCACAGCUACUGAGCCCGUGUGCCAUGACUACUGAAGCCCGCGCACCUACAGCCUGUGCUCUGCAACAAGAGAAGCCACUGCAAUGAGAAGCCCGCGCACCGCAACGAAGAGUAGCCCCCCGCUUGCUGCAACUAGAGAAAGCCCACGUGCAGCAACGAAGACCCAAGGCAGCCAAAAAUAAAUAAAUUAAU